CUUGAGAGUUUGAUCCUGGCUCAGGAUGAACGCUGGCGGCGUGNNGCGUGUCUUAGGCAUGCAAGUCAAGGGGGUUUCGCGAGCAAUCGUGGAACAACCGGCAAACGGGAGCGUAACACAUUGGUAACCUGCCCCCAUCACGGCCAUAACCCGGAGAAAUCUGGACUAAUUGCCGAUGGUCUCUCAUACCCGAUUGGGUGUGAGAGUAAAGGUUUCGCGCAAGCGAAGCCAGAUGGGGAGGGGCCUAUGGUCCAUCAGCUUGUUGGUGAGGUAAUGGCUCACCAAGGCAAAGAUGGGUAGCUGGUCUGAGAGGAUGGUCAGCCACACUGGGACUGAGACACUGCCC
rnacentral:rRNA from 1 species